rnacentral:rRNA from 1 species
AGAGUUUGAUCAUGGCUCAGAUUGAACGCUGGCGGCAUGCCUUACACAUGCAAGUCGAACGGUAACAGGUCUUCGGAUGCUGACGAGUGGCGAACGGGUGAGUAAUACAUCGGAACGUGCCCAGUAAUGGGGGAUAGCUCGGCGAAAGCCGGAUUAAUACCGCAUACGCCCUGAGGGGGAAAGUGGGGGACCGCAAGGCCUCACGUUAUUGGAGCGGCCGAUGGCUGAUUAGCUAGUUGGUAGGGUAAAGGCCUACCAAGGCGACGAUCAGUAGCUGGUCUGAGAGGACGAUCAGCCACACUGGGACUGAGACACGGCCCAGACUCCUACGGGAGGCAGCAGUGGGGAAUUUUGGACAAUGGGCGAAAGCCUGAUCCAGCCAUGCCGCGUGCAGGAUGAAGGCCUUCGGGUUGUAAACUGCUUUUGUACGGAACGAAAAGACUCCUUCUAAUAAAGGGGGUCCAUGACGGUACCGUAAGAAUAAGCACCGGCUAACUACGUGCCAGCAGCCGCGGUAAUACGUAGGGUGCAAGCGUUAAUCGGAAUUACUGGGCGUAAAGCGUGCGCAGGCGGUUGUGUAAGACAGGUGUGAAAUCCCCGGGCUUAACCUGGGAAUUGCAUUUGUGACUGCACGACUAGAGUGUGUCAGAGGGGGGUGGAAUUCCACGUGUAGCAGUGAAAUGCGUAGAUAUGUGGAGGAACACCAAUGGCGAAGGCAGCCCCCUGGGAUAACACUGACGCUCAUGCACGAAAGCGUGGGGAGCAAACAGGAUUAGAUACCCUGGUAGUCC